UACGUAGGGUGCGAGCGUUAAUCGGAAUUACGUGGGCGUAAAGCGUGCGCAGGCGGUUUUGUAAGCCAGAUGUGAAAUCCCCGGGCUUAACCUGGGAAUGGCAUUUGGGACUGCAAGGCUUGAGUGCGGCAGAGGAGACUGGAAUUCCUGGUGUAGCAGUGAAAUGCGUAGAUAUCAGGAGGAACACCGAGUGGCGAAGGC
rnacentral:rRNA from 1 species